CUGGCAGGCGCUGGCUGCUCCUCUGGGAAGCUCCUGCCGCUCCUCUGGGAAGCUCGUGCCGCCCCGGCCGGGCAGGUUCCUCCGGCUGCGCCGUGGCCGUGUCCCGCAGCUGGGCGUGGAGCGAGCCCGGGCAGCGGCGGCGCCGGGAGCCGCUUCCAGCUUCCCUCCAUCCAUCCCGGGCUGCGGCCGGGACGGCGCCGGGCUCCGGGCUCUGGCCAUGGCCGAAGCGCAGGAGCCGCCCCCGGCUCUCUCGGAUACCCAGGUCCUGGUGCUGACGGGCGUCACCCUCCCGGCCGCGCUGCUCAGCUGCGCCCCCUGUUCCUCCUGGCCCUGGCAGAUUUCCUGGGUGCCACGGCGCUGCUGGGCACGGGAACCAUCCCGCUGCUGCCGGCCUCCCUCUCCGUGCCCGCCUAUGCCGCCUGUCCCUACGGGCGGAUGCUGACCACGACCUCCUACGCCGUCUCGUUCCUCAUGGUCGCUGUUUACGCGUACGAGUCGCACCGCACCGUCCUCGGGGGGCGAGCCCGGCCCCCGGCAGCGCUGCAGGUCCGUGCCUGGCCCGGGCACAGCCGGGAAUCGCUCUGGCCACACACGGCCCUGUCAGGACAAGGGAGCAGCGGGGCGAUCCGGGGCAUCCCCUUUCCCCGGGAAUUCGGGAUUUCCCCAGUCCUGGCGGAGCUGCGGCCGCCCCUCCAGCCCCGGCUCACGGCGGUUCUCCCGCAGGAGCGGAACCGCUGCCUGGAGAGCGCCUGGCAGGGAAUUCCGUACGUCCUGG
rnacentral:lncRNA from 1 species